CUGGCUUGUCAGCAGCAGCUUCGCUUUGGCUCCGACGUUUGUCUUCGGAGUUUGAAGCCUUUGCCGCCAGAAGGUGGGUUGGCGUCAGUGGACGGAAU
rnacentral:miRNA from 1 species